rnacentral:rRNA from 1 species
CUUGGUCAAUUUAGAGGAAGUAAAAGUCGUAACAAGGUUUCCGUAGGUGAACCUGCGGAAGGAUCAUUACCUAGAGUUUGUAGACUUCGGUCUGCUACCUCUUACCCAUGUCUUUUGAGUACCUUCGUUUCCUCGGCGGGUCCGCCCGCCGAUUGGACAACAUUCAAACCCUUUGCAGUUGCAAUCAGCGUCUGAAAAAACAUAAUAGUUACAACUUUCAACAACGGAUCUCUUGGUUCUGGCAUCGAUGAAGAACGCAGCGAAAUGCGAUAAGUAGUGUGAAUUGCAGAAUUCAGUGAAUCAUCGAAUCUUUGAACGCACAUUGCGCCCCUUGGUAUUCCAUGGGGCAUGCCUGUUCGAGCGUCAUUUGUACCUUCAAGCUCUGCUUGGUGUUGGGUGUUUGUCUCGCCUCUGCGUGUAGACUCGCCUUAAAACAAUUGGCAGCCGGCGUAUUGAUUUCGGAGCGCAGUACAUCUCGCGCUUUGCACUCAUAACGACGACGUCCAAAAGUACAUUUUUACACUCUUGACCUCGGAUCAGGUAGGGANCYACCCGCUGAACUUAAGCAUAUCAAUAAGCGGAGGA